AUAAGCCAGACAACAACUACGAAACAUGGGUAAUUACUUCUGUCUUGUGGUCAUAUUACUCGGCUACGAAGCCAAACAUUGCGUGUUCGGUCCUCGCUAUAACCAAAUUGCUACACCACUAAGCUAAUCUGAAGACAUUAAGAGGUAUGAAAAUUUAUGAUAGGAACUUAGUUGAAAUGCAAAAAAGGAGCUAAACUAAUCUUAAGACAUUAAGAGGCAGGUAUGAAAAGUUAUGAAAGCGGUAAUGCAAAGAAAGAGCUAAACUUAUCUUAAGGCAUUAUUCAGAAAUCAUGAUUAUGUGGCCAAAGAUGGAUAGCAACGACAUCAUUGAGCUGACGGAAGAAUAUAAAAAGAACUCCGGAAA